GACGAACGCUGGCGGCGUGCUUAACACAUGCAAGUCGAACGGAAAGGCCCUGCUUUUGUGGGGUGCUCGAGUGGCGAACGGGUGAGUAACACGUGAGUAACCUGCCCUUGACUUUGGGAUAACUUCAGGAAACUGGGGCUAAUACCGGAUAGGAGCUCCUGCUGCAUGGUGGGGGUUGGAAAGUUUCGGCGGUUGGGGAUGGACUCGCGGCUUAUCAGCUUGUUGGUGGGGUAGUGGCUUACCAAGGCUUUGACGGGUAGCCGGCCUGAGAGGGUGACCGGCCACAUUGGGACUGAGAUACGGCCCAGACUCCUACGGGAGGCAGCAGUGGGGAAUAUUGCACAAUGGGCGGAAGCCUGAUGCAGCAACGCCGCGUGCGGGAUGACGGCCUUCGAGUUGUAAACCGCUUUCGCCUGUGACGAAGCGUGAGUGACGGUAAUGGGCAAAGAAGCACCGGCUAACUACGUG
rnacentral:rRNA from 1 species